rnacentral:rRNA from 1 species
GUGCCAGCAGCCGCGGUAAUACGUAGGGUGCGAGCGUUGUCCGGAAUUAUUGGGCGUAAAGGGCUCGUAGGCGGUUUGUCGCGUCGGGAGUGAAAACGCCGUGCUUAACACGGCGCUUGCUUCCGAUACGGGCAGACUAGAGGUAUUCAGGGGAGAACGGAAUUCCUGGUGUAGCGGUGAAAUGCGCAGAUAUCAGGAGGAACACCGGUGGCGAAGGCGGUUCUCUGGGAAUGACCUGACGCUGAGGAGCGAAAGUGUGGGGAGCGAACAGGAUUAGAUACCCUGGUAGUCC